AAGGGUCAGGAUAAUCCAACGUCUCUGCCUCCUUCCUUCUUCUAUCCUGCCAAUCCCUACACCAGGGAACACUUAACCCAUACCUGCAGGCAUCCCAGGUUCUAAGAGAGACUCCUAAGCAGGAGAUAUACAGGUAUUUUGUACCGCUGUGCAGUGGGGAAAAAACCAAGGACUUGAUUCCAGAAGACCUGGGUUUGAAUCUGGACUCUUACUGGAAAGUCAGAAGAUUUAGACCUGAAAGGCCUUCUAACGUGUUCUGUUCCUUUUGACUUCUUCCCCUCUGAAGGAAGGAGGAGACCACUAGACCUGUCGGCCUCAUGGGGGACAAAGCACAAGGUGUCACCCUCUGACUAUUGAACAGGGUCCUAUUCUAUCCCCUGGUAAAUUUCCUGCUGGUUCAUCUAAUUAAUGUAAGAGAUUCUGAUAUGUGAAAUACCAAGCAAAAGCUCUGAAUAAAUGUUAACCUAACCACUGACUGGUUAACAAUCUGUGGCAUGUUUUAAGAGUCUGCAGACUGGAUCAGGAGAAUGAAAUUGUCAGAAAUUCAGGUGAUCAACAAACUUAAUGGCAUUUUCCUUCUUUGUUUUGCAAGGAAGACCUUUAUAAUAGUUACCUAUGUCAAGCCCAACCAAGGCCACAGGAAAAGACAAACUAUAUUUGCAAGUUGGCCAUUGGGUGAUCCAGAUUCUCUCCCUGCUUCUUUUCUCCUUCCUUCUGACCCCUCCACAAAUUAUAGGAAUCAAAGACCCUGAAAUGUAGAUCUGGAGAUGAUAUUAAUAGCUUGAUCCACCCUGGAGACCCUGGGAAGUAGGGAAAACUGGUGAAAUAUCACUGGCACAUAUCGGAGAUGAAACCUUUUCUGUGUGAAAAGGGAAAGGUGGAAAGUGGUCUUUGCUGCUGUGCCAUACUGCCAGGUAAUUUUGACCCGGCUAGCUAAUAGUCACCCCAUUAGUGGAGGUUCACCUUGAGACACAGAAUUGAAGAUUGGCAGCAUCAUCCAUAUCCAGCCCCUCUGAGGGUCUUAGUUGAUUAU